UACAGAGGUCUCAAGCGUUGUUCGGAUUUACUGGGCGUAAAGGGCGCGUAGGCGGUCGUGACAAGUCACUUGUGAAAUCUCCGGGCUUAACUCGGAACGGUCAAGUGAUACUGUCGGACUAGAGUACAGAAGGGGCAACUGGAAUUCUCGGUGUAGCGGUGAAAUGCGUAGAUAUCGAGAGGAACACCUGCGGCGAAGGCGGGUUGCUGGGCUGAUACUGACGCUGAGGCGCGAAAGCCAGGGGAGCGAACGGG
rnacentral:rRNA from 1 species